AUAUAAUUCUCCUCUCUCUUCUUGGGCCUAGCCGAUAAUUAAAUUACCUAUCUCUUUCUCUUUCUCUCUCUUCCUCACCUACACACAGAUCCAAAUGGCUACCCACCCAACGCCCUCUUUCCCACUCCGUCUUCUGUGACCCCCUUGCCCUAUCUCCCACUUCGUCUCCUCCGAACUCAUCCUCUUGUAGGGUUUCCUCUUCUCCACCCUUUUCU
rnacentral:lncRNA from 1 species